GACGAAGAAGAAGAACGGAAAAAGAGGGAGUCAGCGUAACUCAGAGCAGGAAGGGGAUAUUUUUGGUAGUAGCAGGUAGGGCACAAGGCAAGGUGUAGUUGGCAGCUCAUGUUUGUUAGACCAACAACCAGGAGAAGAGCAACCAGCAGCACUUUGAGAAACGGUAGGAAUGUCCACACGAUGUUUCAAGACGGUUUGUUUUUGUGCUAAUGCUAACGCUAACGCGAACGGUAACACUUGGCCCUGCAAAGUAUAGGCUCGUGUCGGAUCAUGACAAGUGAACGGCAUUUUUAGAUACAGUUUGACUUCCUCAGUUAGACUAGUGGAGGAGUUUAUCUGUCGUUUUCGACCUGAAGACGGGAUAGAGACUCUUGAGCGUGGAGUAGCCAGGAUUCCACUCGUGAGUUUCGCUGGACACGUGGAGGAGUUGAGACGAACGACGGAGCACGUGUAGGAUUGCUGAUCGGAGGCUGGGCUUGGUCCGGUGAUCGUUGGAGACAGAACAGUAGCCGGUUAUGGACUCAAGAGUCCACGACCUAUAAACUCCAUUAGAGGACCACGAUUUGGAUGAAACUGGGACUCAAAUUCUGCAGCAACGUCCCAACACACAAUGGAGGUUGGGCUUUGAAUGAACCACAUACAAGAUAGAAAGGGUUUGGAGAGGCGUUCAUAACGGCCUUCUUGGAUCUCUCCUACUCCAUCUUUACCUUGAGGGGGAAGGCCUUCUCAACCACAAACUCAUAAAACAUCAUUAUCCAGGAUGGCUGGACCUGCUGCGACAGCUGCGACUACGUACCGAGGGAAACCAGUUCCACUGAGGGAAACCAGUCCACCCCGCAGCUGUGGAGUCUCCAUGAACACCAGGCCCAGCAGUCAUUUUAUUUUUACUAUGACCUUACUUUCCUACAUGGGACAAUGUCAACAUGAACCGUAUCUCACAUUACACUACGUUUUUAAUAAUGUGGGGAAGGUUUAUUUCAAAGUGCACAUAUCAGAAGCAUGAUGUAACUAACAGAGAGGCCUGUACAUUUUUAGUCUGCAUAUCAUGGGCACUUGCUAAAAUAGUGUUCAAAUUAGUGUUUUAGAGACAUCAUUAUACAUCAUAGCUCUCUCUUCCCUAUAUAUUAAUUCAUCGGCUCUCUGGGAUUGUACUCCAUCUCUUUCUGUUGCCAUAGCUGUUCAUUUUCAUCCAGAAUCCAAUGAAGUUAUAAAACCAGUGAUAUUUACAACAAGGUUCUAAAAUAUAAAUAACUAACUGAAAAUAACUCAGCUCUGUAGAAAUGUUGACCAUAAGAAUAUAAACUUUUGGCUGAACAGACACUUUAACCUGAACCCUUUUAACUGCAGGUCCACAUGGAGGUUGGAGUUGACUGGACUGGACUGUGUGGUCAUAGUCAGCCUGGUAUUCUGGUCCCUGAAGUUCAGCUGAAUGCUUAAUGUCAGACGUGCUCCAGUAAAUGCCUCCGUCACCAGCUGCAUGACGCAGGGGAAGUUAAAUAAAUGCUCUGAUUAAGCAUGGAUCUGAAAUCU